rnacentral:rRNA from 1 species
CCGGGGAAUAUUGGACAAUGGGCGAAAGCCUGAUCCAGCGACGCCGCGUGUCGGAAGGAGUCCUUCGGGAUGUAAACGACUUUUGGUGGAGACGAAUAAGCAGCUCAGGGAAUGGGGCUGUGAUGACGGUAUCCAUGGAAUAAGCCCCGGCUAACUACGUGCCAGCAGCCGCGGUAAGACGUAGGGGGCAAGCGUUACCCGGAAUUACUGGGCGUAAAGGGAGCGUAGGCGGGAGGUCAAGUCCGGUGUGAAAGACCCUGGCUCAACCAGGGAUGAGGGCUGGAAACUGACAAUCUUGAGUACAGCAGAGGAAGUGGGAAUUACCGGUGUAGGGGUGAAAUCCGUAGAGACCGGUAAGAAGGCCAGUGGCGAAGGCGCUUUUCUGGGCUGUUACUGACGCUGAGGCUCGAAAGCCAGGGGAGCAAACCG